rnacentral:rRNA from 1 species
UACAGAGGAUGCAAGCGUUAUCCGGAAUGAUUGGGCGUAAAGCGUCUGUAGGUGGCUUUUUAAGUCCGCCGUCAAAUCCCAGGGCUCAACUCUGGACAGGCGGUGGAAACUACCAAGCUGGAGUACGGUAGGGGCAGAGGGAAUUUCCGGUGGAGCGGUGAAAUGCGUAGAGAUCGGGAAGAACAUCAGUGGCGAAGGCGGUCUGCUGGGCCGUUGCUGACGCUGAGGAGCGAAAGCGUGGGUAGCAAACAGG